rnacentral:tRNA from 1 species
GGGAUACGGAUUUAUUCUUUUGCAAGGAAUAUUACCCACCAUAGUGGGGUAUCUUC